AGAGUUUGAUCAUGGCUCAGGAUGAACGCUGGCGGCGUGCUUAACACAUGCAAGUUGAGCGGUAAGGCCCCUUCGGGGGUACACGAGCAGCGAACGGGUGAGUAACGCGUGGGUAAUCUACCCAGAGGUGGAGGAUAGCCCCGGGAAACCGGGGGUAAUACUGCAUACGUCUCUCCCUGCAUAAGCGGGGAUUGAGAAAGGCGGGGAUCUUCGGACCUGUCGCCUCUGGAUGAGCCCGCGUCCGAUUAGCUAGUUGGUGAGGUAAUGGCUCACCAAGGCAUCGAUCGGUAGCCGGCCUGAGAGGGUGAACGGCCACAUUGGGACUGAGACACGGCCCAGACUCCUACGGGAGGCAGCAGUGGGGAAUUUUGGGCAAUGGGCGAAAGCCUGACCCAGCGACGCCGCGUGGAGGAUGAAGGCCUUCGGGUUGUAAACUCCUGUCAGGUGGGAAGAAGAGUCCUGUGGAUAAUACCCACAGGAAAUUGACGGUACCACCAAAGGAAGCCCCGGCUAACUCCGUGCCAGCAGCCGCGGUAAUACGGGGGUGGCAAGCGUUGUCCGGAAUUACUAGGCGUAAAGGGCAGGUAGGCGGAUAUUCAAGUCAGGUGUUAAAGGCAUCAGCUCAACUGGUGUACGGCAUUUGAAACUGGAUAUCUAGAGUCAGGUAGAGGUAGAUGGAAUUCCUAGUGUAGCGGUGGAA
rnacentral:rRNA from 1 species